rnacentral:rRNA from 1 species
CCCGCGACGUUGUGAGAAGUCCACUGAACCUUAUCAUCUAGAGGAAGGAGAAGUCGUAACAAGGUUUCCGUAGGUGAACCUGCGGAAGGAUCAUUG